AAAAGAAAAAAGAAAAUGAAAGAAAAGAGAGAACAUAAUGAAUGAUAUAUAUAUAUAUAUAUAUAUAUCAUUCAUUAUGUUCUCUCUUUUCUUUCAUUUUCUUUUUUCUUUUAUCGGCGUCGUAAUACGUAAUCUUAGUAUG
rnacentral:ribozyme from 1 species